rnacentral:rRNA from 1 species
CCUACGGGGGGCUGCAGUGGGGAAUAUUGGACAAUGGGGGCAACCCUGAUCCAGCCAUGCCGCGUGUGUGAAGAAGGCCCUCGGGUUGUAAAGCACUUUCAGUGAGGAAGAACGCCUGGUGGUUAAUACCCAUCAGGAAAGACAUCACUCACAGAAGAAGCACCGGCUAACUCCGUGCCAGCAGCCGCGGUAAUACGGAGGGUGCGAGCGUUAAUCGGAAUUACUGGGCGUAAAGCGCGCGUAGGUGGCUUGAUAAGCCGGUUGUGAAAGCCCCGGGCUCAACCUGGGAACGGCAUCCGGAACUGUCAAGCUAGAGUGCAGGAGAGGAAGGUAGAAUUCCCGGUGUAGCGGUGAAAUGCGUAGAGAUCGGGAGGAAUACCAGUGGCGAAGGCGGCCUUCUGGACUGACACUGACACUGAGGUGCGAAAGCGUGGGUAGCAAACAGGAUUAGAUACCCAGUAGUC